UGGGGAAUAUUGCACAAUGGGCGCAAGCCUGAUGCAGCCAUGCCGCGUGUGUGAAGAAGGCCUUCGGGUUGUAAAGCACUUUCAGCGAGGAGGAAGGUGGUGAACUUAAUACGUUCAUCAAUUGACGUUACUCGCAGAAGAAGCACCGGCUAACUCCGUGCCAGCAGCCGCGGUAAUACGGAGGGUGCAAGCGUUAAUCGGAAUUACUGGGCGUAAAGCGCACGCAGGCGGUUUGUUAAGUCAGAUGUGAAAUCCCCGGGCUCAACCUGGGAACUGCAUUUGAAACUGGCAAGCUAGAGUCUCGUAGAGGGGGGUAGAAUUCCAGGUGUAGCGGUGAAAUGCGUAGAGAUCUGGAGGAAUACCGGUGGCGAAGGCGGCCCCCUGGACGAAGACUGACGCUCAGGCUGCGAAAGCGUGGGGCAGCAAACAGGAUUAGAUACCCUGGUAGUCCACGCUGUAAACGAUGUCGAUUUUGGAGGUUGUGCCCUUGAGGCGUGGCUUCCGGAGCUAACGCGUUAAAUCG
rnacentral:rRNA from 1 species